GUCGUGAGAUGUUGGGUUAAGUCCCGCAACGAGCGCAACCCUUGUCCUAUGUUGCCAGCGGGUAAUGCCGGGGACUCGUAGGAGACUGCCGGGGUCAACUCGGAGGAAGGUGGGGAUGACGUCAAGUCAUCAUGCCCCUUACGUCCAGGGCUGCAAACAUGCUACAAUGGCCGGUACAAAGGGCUGCUAUUCCGCGAGGAUGAGCGAAUCCCAAAAAGCCGGUCUCAGUUCGGAUUGGAGUCUGCAACUCGACUCCAUGAAGUCGGAGUCGCUAGUAAUCCCGGAUCAGCAAUGCCGGGGUGAAUACGUUCCCGGGCCUUGUACACACCGCCCGUCACACCACGAAAGUCGGUAACACCCGAAGCCAGUGGCCCAACCGCAAGGAGGGAGCUGUCGAAGGUGGGAUCGGUGAUUGGGGUGAAGUCGUAACAAGGUAGCCGUACCGGAAGGUGCGGCUGGAUCACCUCCUUUCUAAGGAGUUACUGCUGGUCCCAACUGACAACCUUGUCAGGGAAAGACCGGAACUCCCACGUUGAUCACUCGCUAUUCGGCCCCUCGAGCUCAGUCGCAGUCGUAGGAUCCGUCCUCCUGCACCUGGCCCCGUGGUGUCGGGCCCCUCUGUUCCGUUUUCCGAGAGCAUCCAGUGCUCUCGCCCAGGCCCGCCUCCGGCGGAUCCUGGUGAACCGGCAAUGCCGGCCUACGGCCGACCGCUUGCCCGUUCCGCUUGAAGAGAGCGACUUCGUCGCCCUUCGAGCGUGCCCCUUGAGAACUCCAUAGCGAGCACGAGCAUCUUUUUGAAUUCCAAGCUACAAAGAGCCAACGGUGGAUGCCUUGGCGCCUGAAGCCGAUGAAGGACGUGGGUGGCUGCGAAAAGCCACGGGGAGCUGCCGACCAAGCUUCGAUCCGUGGAUGU
rnacentral:sRNA from 1 species